UUCUUUCCAUCUCAAUUGGUCAGAGCAUGGUGCUGAUAACACCAAAGUUGGGGGUUCAAUCCCCAUUUGAGCCA